rnacentral:rRNA from 1 species
GAUGAACGCUGACAGAAUGCUUAACACAUGCAAGUCGAUGGGGAAGUGGUGCUUGCACCAUGGUAACCAUGGCGGACGGGUGAGUAACGCGUAAGGAACUUGCCUGCGGGACUGGGAUAACAGCAGGAAACUGCUGAUAAUACCGGAUAAGGUCAUUAAGCUGCAUAGCUUAGUGAUGAAAGGAGACGCCUGCGGAGAGCCUUGCGUCCUAUUAGCUAGUUGGAGGGGUAACGGCCCACCAAGGCGAAGAUAGGUAGCCGGCCUGAGAGGGUGGACGGCCACAAGGGGACUGAGAUACGGCCCUUACUCCUACGGGAGGCAGCAGUGGGGAAUAUUGGACAAUGGGGGCAACCCUGAUCCAGCAAUUCUGUGUGCACGAAGACGGUUUUCGGAUUGUAAAGUGCUUUCAGCAGGGAAGAAGGAAGUGACGGUACCUGCAGAAGAAGCGACGGCUAAAUACGUGCCAGCAGCCGCGGUAAUACGUAUGUCGCGAGCGUUAUCCGGAAUUAUUGGGCAUAAAGGGCAUCUAGGCGGCCUUUCAAGUCAGGGGUGAAAACCUGCGGCUCAACCGCAGGCCUGCCUUCGAAACUGAUAGGCUGGAGUACCGGAGAGGUGGACGGAACUGCACGAGUAGAGGUGAAAUUCGUAGAUAUGUGCAGGAAUGCCGAUGAUGAAGAUAGUUCACUGGACGGUAACUGACGCUGAAGUGCGAAAGCCGGGGGAGCGAACAGG